UGAUUUUAGGAGAAAACGGUC
rnacentral:miRNA from 1 species